rnacentral:rRNA from 1 species
GAUGAACGCUAGCGGCAGGCCUAAUACAUGCAAGUCGAACGGGAUCCAGAUCAAAGCUUGCUUUGGUCUGGUGAGAGUGGCGCACGGGUGCGUAACGCGUGAGCAACCUACCCUUGUCAGGGGGAUAGCCCGGCGAAAGUCGGAUUAAUACCGCAUGACAUCAUUGAGAGGCAUCUUUCGAUGAUCAAAGAUUUAUCGGACAAGGAUGGGCUCGCGUGACAUUAGCUCGUUGGUAAGGUAACGGCUUACCAAGGCUGCGAUGUCUAGGGGCUCUGAGAGGAGAAUCCCCCACACUGGUACUGAGACACGGACCAGACUCCUACGGGAGGCAGCAGUAAGGAAUAUUGGUCAAUGGACGGAAGUCUGAACCAGCCAUGCCGCGUGCAGGAGGACGGCCCUAUGGGUUGUAAACUGCUUUUAUACGGGAACAAACGUCGGUACGUGUACCGGUCUGAGUGUACCGUAAGAAUAAGGAGCGGCUAACUCCGUG